GGGGUCUGUGCGCGCCGCCACGGGAGGGGCCUUGCGGCGUUGUCUCGCGCGAAAAGGAGAUGGCGGAGUCGUUGAGGUCUCCGCGCCGCUCCCUGUACAAACUGGUGGGCUCGCCGCCUUGGAAAGAGGCUUUCCGGCAGAGAUGCCUGGAGAGAAUGAGAAACAGCCGGGACAGGCUCCUAAACAGGUACCGCCAGGCCGGAAGCAGUGGGCCACGGAAUGCUCAGAACAGCUUUCUAGUGCAAGAGGUGAUGGAAGAAGAGUGGAAUGCUUUGCACUCAGUGGAGAAUUGUCCAGAAGACUUGGCUCAGUUAGAGGAGCUGAUAGACAUGGCUGUGCUGGAGGAAAUUCAACAGGAGCUGAUCAACCAAGAGCAGUCCAUCAUCAGCGAGUAUGAGAAGAGCUUGCAGUUUGAUGAAAAGUGUCUCAGCAUCAUGCUGGCUGAGUGGGAGGCAAACCCACUCAUCUGUCCUGUAUGUACAAAGUACAACCUGAGAAUCACAGGCGGUGUGGUGGUGUGUCAGUGUGGCCUGUCCAUCCCAUCUCACUCUUCUGAGUUGACAGAGCAGAAGCUUCGUGCCUGUUUAGAGGGUAGUAUAAAUGAGCACAGUGCACAUUGUCCCCACACACCUGAAUUUUCAGUCACUGGAGGAACAGAAGAAAAGUCCAGUCUUCUCAUGAGCUGUCUGGUAAGCCUCUCCUGGGACCCAGUCUGUGGUAAGAGGAACCUGUGGUUGGUUUUAUUCCCACCUUGAUAGAAAUAAUGACCUAGAAACAGGUAAAUGUUUAAUGCAGUUUAUUAUCUGAGGAAUUUACUCGCAUGAAAAAGUGAAGGUAACAAGUCAUUUCGACUCAAAGGCCAGUCAGAAAGAAGGGAAGAGGCAGCAUAGGAUCAUGGCAAGAGGAUUGGUCUGGGAGUUAGGACGCCUGGCUCCACACCUGCUCUUCUUAGAUCAGUAGUAGUGGUUUUGGAUUCAGCUGGUCAUUUCAUAGUCAUAAGACCCAGAUAGGCCAUGCUGGCACCACUUUUGCAGAAGAAAACAGGGCAGAAGCAUAGCAGGGCAGCAUUAGGUUUGUCUGUCAGUGGAGUUUUUACAGAGGUCCAAGGGCUAGUCGCUAGCCUGAGUGACAACUGAGGUGUGAGGCCAGGAACACAAGUGGGUAAGGGAACCACUUGUCUUAGAAGUGUGCCAUAGGAACCAAUAUCUCUUAUAAUCCAUGUCAUCUCCAUAUAUGUGUAUGUAUAUAUGUACAUGUGUAUAUAUAUCACACAAACACACAUAAAACCAAAUGAUAUAUAUUAUUAUUGCUUUUAGAUCCCAGGCAGGGGGAGCCUUGGGAUUAGGAGCACACUGUACUUCAGGAAGUUCAUAGCCAUGACCUUCUACUGGGAAUUUAGAAUUCCUUCAUGGUCCUGUCAUUCCAAAUGCAGUUAACCUACAGAGGUCAUUUUUAUUAUAAGCAGCCUUGCCUAGUAACAGCCAUUUCACCUUUAUCAAGUUUCUUCCAUAGGUAUUCUACUCAUUCAUUAAAAAAAACAAUGAAUUGAGGACUCAUAACAUUGAGAAAUACACAUCUCUCACAGAGCUCAAGCCUUGGGUUGGUAAUAAGAGAACAGAAUAAACAGGCAGUACCCUGGAGAGCUGUACAAGGAGGGCUUAUGGGAGUUCGGAGGAGGGUGAUCUCCUUUAUGGUGACACCUUCCUGGAGGAGGCAUUUAACUUGGCCUUGACGCAUGGAAUCGAUUUGGACAGACAUGGAGAUCUGGUGAGUUGUGGGGGUAGAGCUUAAGUGGAAGAUCCCCACAUAGAAGAACAAGGCAGAGAAGCAGGAAACUGGAGUGUAUACAAAGAGCAUCUUGUUCUACUUAGCUGGAGCAUUAGGUUCAUGAGGGAGAGGAUAGUUCCCGUUAGGAAUAGGAAACAGAUUCAGAGAAGUGAUGUAAUCUGGCCAAAAUUUUACUACUAAUAAGCGAUAGAGCUGGUGUUAGACCCCAGGUCUUUGUGGUUCCAGUGCCCCUGCUGUUUCCUGCUCCAGGCUCAGGCCUUGGUGGAAGGAUGCCAUUUUCCAUCAGCUUGUAUGGAAAGAGACACAGCAGGUGAAGUUUAAAUAAAACCCCUCACUACUUCCUGUUGACUACAGGCACAUGUUCCCUUCCGUUCCAGCUAUCCAGCACUGGUAGCAGAUGCUCAAAUAUGUAGUGCCUUCAGGCCUCUGUGCUGUUGUUCAUGCCGUUCUGUCUGAACGACUCCCACUACAUUUAAGGAUCAUUUGUACAAAUAUUUAUCGAGCACUACAAUAUGUACUUCAUUCAGCCUGAUUCUUCACAAGGAAUUGGCCAGUCUCAGCUGGCCACGGUGGGUCACGCCUGUAAUCCCAGCACUUUGGGAGGCUGAGGUGGGCAGAUCACCUGAGGUCAGGAGUUCAAGACCAGCCUGGCCAACAUGGUGAAACCCCAUUUUUACUAAAAAUACAAAACUUAGCUGGGCAUGGUGGUGGGUGCCUGUAAUCUCAGCUACUCAGGAGGCUGGGGCAGGAGAAUCACUUGAACCCAGGAGGCGGAGGUUGCAGUGAGCUGAGAUCGUGCUGUUGCACACCAGCCUGGGCAACAGAGUGAGAUUCUGUCUCAAAAACAGAAUUGGUGGCCGAUUGCGGUGGCUCAGGCCUGUAAUCCCCACACUUUGGGAGGCUGAGGCGGUCGGAUCAUCUGAGGUCAGGAGUUCAAGACCAGCCUGGCUAAUAUGAUGAAACUCUGUCUCUACUAAAAAUACAAAAAAAUUAGGCGUGGCGGCACACACCUGUAAUCCCAGCUACUCGCGAGGCUGAGGCAGGAAAAUCGCUUGAACCCAGGAAGCGGAGGUUGCAGUGAGCGGAGAUUACGCCACUGCUCUCCAGCCUGGGCAACAAGAGCGAAACUCUAUCUCAAAAGAAAACAAACAAAAAAAGAAUUGGCCAGCCUGAGAAGUCCAUUCCUUUGGAGUCUGUGUUACCAUUCUCAAUAAACCUAAUGAGGGCUGGCAGAGGGGAACUGGCCAGUCUCUGCUUGGGCUUCCACCGUACCUCAUGCCAUGUCACCUGUAACAGUGUUGCAGUUACCUGCUCAUGUCUUUGUCCUUGAGGGCAAGGCUCAUAUUUAUUUUUAUUUCCAGUGCUUGGCAUAUAUUAAUAGAUGCUUAAUAUGUUUGUACAAAUGAGUUAAGGUGGAGGGAGGUGAGUUGAGGCGGCACAGGUCAGCUGGCUUUGGCUUCUGUCUUCUUAGUAAGGUGAACAGUGAGUCAUCCACACAGAUUAUAAUGGUAGCAGAGCUGGAGUCUACAGCUCCUUGAGUAUGAAAGUCCCCUUGAGUGUGAAAGACCAAAUGCUGGUGGGGGGAUGAGAAGGGGAAUUAAAGGGUAAGUGGAAGAUUGCCUAAUUGCCAAAUGUACAGCUUCAGCUCAGCAUGUAAUUGUUAUGGACCCCAGUUAUCCACUCACCUAACCGUCAGUGCCCUGUGGCUCAGAGCAGCAGUGAAGCUAAGUGGGAGGUGAGGUUUGGAAGGUGAGUGCUGUGCAGCAGUCUUGGAGAUCAUAGUUAACAGUGCUGGCUCUGGGGUGGGCAGGGAGACCAUUGUUAGGUAAGUGAGGGGAGGCGGGGGUCACAGCAAACAUGAGAAACACAGCCAGGCGCUGUGGUUCACACCUGUAAUCCCAGCAUUUAGGAAGGCUGAGGUGGGAGGAUCACUGGAGGCCAGGAAUUCAAGACCAGCCUGGGCAACAUGGCCUGUGAUAUUUUGACUGUGAUCCUCUAGAGCCAGCUUGGACUCACAUCAUUCUACGGGGUUGAGACAACUCAUUCCAUCUGAGGAGCCUUGUACAUACAAGCCUUUUAUUUAUAACAACUUAUUUUGUAUUGAAACUUUUAAACAAUACUGAAGAAAAAAAAACUUUUCGAACAUCUCUGUUUUUGGUCUUUUGUGAUGCAGGUUGAAGGGGGAGGAACAGAAAAAGACAAACUGCCUUGGAGGAGAUAAACCAAUUUUAUGUCUAUCAUGUUAUACAAAAAUCUAGAAAUAAUAGAUUUGUACAGAAAAAAUGAUAAUAAAUGAGAGCGCAAAACAUAUAA